rnacentral:rRNA from 1 species
GACGAACGCUGGCGGCGUGCUUAACACAUGCAAGUCGAACGGAAAGGCCCUGCUUUUGUGGGGUGCUCGAGUGGCGAACGGGUGAGUAACACGUGAGUAACCUGCCCUUGACUUUGGGAUAACUUCAGGAAACUGGGGCUAAUACCGGAUAGGAGCUCCUGCUGCAUGGUGGGGGUUGGAAAGUUUCGGCGGUUGGGGAUGGACUCGCGGGUUAUCAGCUUGUUGGUGGGGUAGUGGCUUACCAAGGCUUUGACGGGUAGCCGGCCUGAGAGGGUGACCGGCCACAAUGGGACUGAGAUACGGAGCAGACUCCUACGGGCGGCAGCAGUGGGAAAUAUUGCACAAUGGGCGGAAGCCUGAUGCAGAAACGCCGCGUGCGGGAUGACGGCCUUCGGGUUGUAAACCGCUUUCGCCGGUGACGAAGCGUGAGUGACGGUAAUGGGUAAAGAAGCACCGGCUAACUACGUG